AUUGAACGCUGGCGGCAGGCCUAACACAUGCAAGUCGAACGGUAACAGGAAGCUUGCUGCUGCUUUGCGCACCGGAGGGGGGCGUGAUGGCUAUGACUGUGCCACUGCGCGGGGGAGGAGGACAAGAACUGGAAACGGUUGCCACAACCGCAUAGCGGCACAAGAUCAAAGAGGGUGAGCUUAGGGCCUCUUGCCAGAGGCUAGGUCGGGUUAGGUAGUUGGUGUGGUAAAGGCCAAGCAAGGCGACGAUCCGGAACUGGCCUGAGAGGAUGAGCAGUCACACUGGAACUGAGACACGGUCCAGACUCCUACGGGAGGCAGCAGUGGGGAAUAUUGGACAAUGGGCGAAAGCCUGAUCCAGCCAUGCCGCGUGUGUGAAGAAGGUCUUCGGAUUGUAAAGCACUUUAAGUUGGGAGGAAGGGCAGUAAGUUAAUACCUUGCUGUUUUGACGUUACCAACAGAAUAAGCACCGGCUAACUUCGUG
rnacentral:rRNA from 1 species